rnacentral:lncRNA from 1 species
GAACAUCUUUCUUGUCUUUUUCCAUUUACUUUUUUUCUCGACAGCGCAGUGCAACGUAUUUCGAGCAACGUGAUCGAUAACAAUUUUAAUAGUUUUUCUAGUAGAACCGCGUCGUGCCUUUGAAGCGAUAAGAAUCGUUUAAACGCCUCGUGAAAGUUGCGCGUAUGUUUUCUCAAAAUUACAUUCUAGGUUUAUUUCCUCGCGAAUCCGUUUCUUUGCGUUUUUAUGAAAUUUUUCUUCGAUCGUGUAAAAGGACGAUCAACUUCAGGGAAUCUUAAGACUUAAAUGUUAUGUUCGGUAGUGAUUUUUUUAAUACUUUUCAUUCUAAUUAUUCUCCUCGUCCUUUUUCAGUUGUAUCUUGAAAUUAUAUACAAUAUGUAUAACGAAUAUAUACAAGUACAGUAGUUUAUUGAAAAUUCAUUGUGCGAACAGACCAAAGUGUUAUGCAACUUUGACACUGCUCAACAAUUGACGCAUUGAUUUACACCAUUUCAAAGCUGCGUUCGAUUUUGCCGACCCAUUUAAUAAUAACAUUUGCAAAGAUGAAACGAUAUGAAAGAAUCGUAUAAAGCAACAACCUUCUUACUGUAAGCGUUUUUACUCGUUGAAUUGCCAUGAUAAAUAGUAAUGAUAAAUCGUAAUGUUCUCUAAUUACGGAAUGCUUCUAUCAAGUAAUGAAAUCUAUUUAAAUUACUACUUAUCGUAAAUCAUCUUUAUUUAAGAAUUCUAUCGCUUCCUGUUAAAUAGUCUUACUGACGUCAUGCGAGUUAUCUAGCAUUUCUAAUUAGCCCCUUUUCUUUAGUACUAUAACGUAUGUCCGAAUACGUGGAAGCAUGACAAAUUUAUUUGGAAAUAACACGAAACUUACAAAUAUAAAUAUUUUAAACGAUACUGUCACUCCGUAUUUAUUACGAUCUUAUUUUAUUUUAGUCUGAUCGGCAGUCCUGAUUCACGGAUUUAUCGACUAUUGUUUGAAUUUCCGUUACGUACUCAAAUUAACUUGCAGACACUGUAUUUUCUGAAACACGUUAUCUAAUAUCGUUGUACGACAAAUCGAACGAUUAUCAAGGAUUAUAGAUCGAUAGAAACUAAUUUGACAAACUAUUUUUGAGUUUGCUGCCAGUGAUAUUUGUCGACAAAGGACUCAACACAGCUUUUCUUAGUUACCUCAACAAUUUUCCUUGGCCUUCAAAAUCGUCGCUUGCAUAACAGAGUUGCAUGAUUGAAUUAAACUUUGUCCGUAAAGUCCUUAUUACGUGAAAAAUCUGAUUUUGUUUUUUAUAGGAUGUCGAUACUUUGCAUGUUACGUAUCGGACUAAACGCGAGAUAUAGAACAUGCACGAUAAGUAUUGGCAUAUCGUGUAAAUUAUAAUUAAUUUUUCGAAGAAAUGAUCACGGGAAAGUGUCAAAACUCAUCGUAAUCAGACUCGGAACGGUUCGAGGAAAGGAUAAAACAUUGUGUUGCUACUGUUGUGUCGAGUUAUAACUCGAUCUUUCGUUCGAGGUCGAAAGUUAUCUUACUGUUUCUGCAGUUGUUAACCUAAUUUCAUAGAAAACUCGCAUCUCUGCGUGCAAACGAAUCAACCGUGCGAAUGAGAUCAUCGUCGUUAAUUUUUCUCCUUGUUUUCCUGUCUUCACGAAAUCCACGAGAUUUGAAUCAUAAACGAAACGUGAAACAAUGGCGGUCACUCGGAGGAACGUCGUCCCAAACGUCGCUACUCUUUUCGUGCAAAUUUUCAACGCUUUUGUAAUGAUGAUUCGGUCUGUUGAAUUAAAAUGUAUUUAUUUCAAAAGAAAAGAAAAGAAACGGUAGUCGUUAAAUCUUGCAAUUAACAGUCAAUUAUGCUAUUCUAAUAUGACAUCAGGGAAACACGAAUUGUCUCGUAGAACGAGAAAAGAGGCUGAAACAUCUAUCGUGGAUCACGAGGAAUCUGACUCAUGCAUUCAAUUUUGUUUAAAGCUCUGUUCGUUGCUCCGCCGAACGUAAACAAGAUAUGGUCCCCUUGAUAGUACCGACUACACCGCUCGAUGUACAGUUCGCAAAUACAUUUACAGUGUAGCGAAUAAAUACAACACGCCAAUCUCUCUG